GAGCGGGCGUAGCAAUACGUCAGCGGCAGACGGGUGAGUAACGCGUGGGAACGUACCUUUUGGUUCGGAACAACCCAGGGAAACUUGGGCUAAUACCGGAUAAGCCCUUACGGGGAAAGAUUUAUCGCCGAAAGAUCGGCCCGCGUCUGAUUAGCUAGUUGGUGAGGUAAUGGCUCACCAAGGCGACGAUCCGUAGCUGGUAUGAGAGGACGACCAGCCACACUGGGACUGAGACACGGCCCAGACUCCUACGGGAGGCAGCAGUGGGGAAUAUUGGACAAUGGGGGAAACCCUGAUCCAGCGACGCCGCGUGUGUGAAGAAGGCCUGCGGGUUGUAAAGCCCUUUCGGCGGGGAAGAUAAUGACGGUACCCGCAGAAGAAGCCCCGGCUAACUUAGUG
rnacentral:rRNA from 1 species